CUCACAGAGCCAGAGCAGACACAAGGGUAGAGCUGGACAGUGUUAGCUCUCACUUCCUUCUGCAGCCUUGACUGUGUUCCCAUGGCCUCCUCAGUCUAAAGGUUGCUUCUCUGCCUUCCACAGUCAAAGCCAACAAAUGAAAAUAAUCACCAGUGGGAGCUGGGCGGGAGUACCCAGGAUUCUGGUCAAUCACUCUUCAACUCAGAACAAGAGGAAGGCCUGCGGCAUGUCUGCUCCUGCCCUCCUCCAGCCAAGGAUGAGCUAUGUUUCACGUGCUGGCAGGCAGCAUCAUACAAAGUUCUGUUGAGUUCUGAGAUGGGUAUGACCGGAAGGAGCCACCUCGGGAGUGAAAGAAGCCCCCUGUCUUACAGUAUCUAAAUCCCUAAGUAUGGGGAAAACGGCAACAACAUUUUGGAAGCUGAAACACGCUGGGUGGUCCGGUGGUCCUGAGAUCAGACCUGAGAAAAUGGAGUCUCAAACCAGCAAAGGGAAGCUGAAAACCAACCUGAUUUACCCCACAAAAUUCUCCAAAGUCUCAGAUGGAUGGCACCAGGCGUCUGGCCAUGGGAGAGGAGGUGCAUUAAAACCAGAAGUCCAAGGCAGACUCUCUGGGAAGUCAGGCACCUGGUGCUCUCUGGCCAACAGAAGUCUGCAGCGUAUUCAUUCUCUGGAGAUGGCAAACCAAGGACUUUGACUGGAGUGCCAGGCCCAGCUGAGAAAAAUCGAGUCCAUGUUUACUGAAUACUGAAGCAGUGGUCCCCACCCCUUUCCCCCAACUCAGCUCUCACAACAAGGGUGGCUUGACUCAUCCUUCAGGCAGACUGGAAGAUGCCUCUUUGAAGAAAGUGAAACAUUUCAUGAAGCACCUAAAAAGAUGAUCCUGGGAGAGGGUCCCCAAUAGCUAGUGUACCCAGACUGAACUGACCGGACUCAGCUAUGAGCUCAGACUUCCAAUCGGCCUUUUCUCCCUACUCUUACUCUGGAGCAGAAAGCCAAGAAUGACCAGAUAUCUGAUAAGUCCCUCUGAUAGGGAUGAUAAAGACCCAAACAAAAGGAAAAGGGCAGCUUAAAGGAAACAGAAACUUUGCAAAGAUAAGAAAACUCUGAAAAAUAUAUCAACAAAUACUCCGAGGGCUACAAGAAAGUAUUGCAUCCUUGAAGCAAACCAAAAAAAAAAAAAAAAAAAAAAAGGAUGUCAUUAAAACAAUAAAAUGAAAUGUAACAAUCAAAAAACUAAGAAAAAGGUCUUGAUUAUUAAAAACAGUUUAGCAAAAUAAGAAAAUUGAUUGAAGGCAUACAAGACUGAGUUAAGGGAAUCCUCAGAAAGUGAAAAUAAAAAUAGGUAAUAAAAAAAAUCCAAUAUCCAAAUAGUAAAAGUACCAGAGAGAACAGAAAGUGUAGAAAAAUAUCACCACUGAAAUAAUUCAAGAUGAUUUCUCAAAACUGAAAGAUACAUUACCAGACCAGAAACGGCUCACCCAGUGCCCAGCAUAAUAUAAAGAGAACCUCAUGUUCAUGUAUCGUUUUGAAAUUUCAGAAAACCGGGGAUGAAAAGAACUUCCUACUAGUUUAUAGUUACAUGUAAAAGAUUAUGAAUCAGAAUGGACUGCUUACCAGCAAUACUAGAAGCCAGGAGACAAGCAAUCAGAAGUUUAAAAGAAAAUAGUUUGCAACCUAGAAUUUGACAUUCAGCCAAACUAUGGGCCGAGUGUGAGCACAGAAAAAAGAAUUUUCAGACCAAAAAGUCUCAAACCACUUCUCUCCCAUGAGCUCUUUCUCAAGAAGUUACUGGAAGAUAACCUCCAUCAAGAUGAGACAGCAAGGGCACCUGGGUGGCCUAGUCAGUUAAGCAUCAGUCCCGGGAGUUCGAGUCCCGCAUCAGGCUCUGUGCUGAUAGCUCGGAGCCUGGAGCCUGCUUCGGAUUCUGUGUCUCCCCCUCUCUCUGUCCCUCUCCCACUCGCACUCUGUCUUUCUCUCUCUGUCUCAAAAACAAAGUAAACAUUUAAGAAUUUUUUUUUUAAAGAUGAGAGAGCAAGUCAGAAUGACAUUUCUGACGGAGAUCCAACAGAGAGGGGAGAUAAAGGAGGGUGAACAGAGAUCCUGGGUGAACAACUCUGCACAUGCAUAUGGGAUGACCUCCCAGACUGGAACAAUGGGACCAAGGACAUGCUGAGGGCCCUCAUCACCAAGCUCUCUGGAGCCCACCACACCUAGUUUUUAACCUGACAUCAGAACACUGGCCUGAGCCUAUCUCAGAAUCUCAUGUACUUGGUUCAUCUUGACCAUGAACUUGACCAUGAAAUUGCUGCCCUCACGUCUUCAGCCUACUCGUCACCCCAUAGAACUAUUCUAUUCGACCGACUGCCAAGGGCUAAGGAUGGUAAUGAGGACCUCAGACGUAAAAACAGACAGCAGUUCUGUCCGCCAACACACCCCUCCAGAUGUUUAGUACCUGAUACAUAUUACAACCCUGGGAAAGUCAGGGACCUGAAUAACCGAAAGUCAGAUUACUCUGGUGAGGAAGGAAGGAGAAGCCCCUGGCGGAGAGCACAGGGAGCCCUUGAGGGAGCAACCUUCUAUUUCCUAACCUGGGCACUAGAUGACAUUCUGCUGUUCUUUAACCAGCAUGGAUGUCUCAGACACUCUUCUAUACACAAUAUAUGUUUUAGAAUGAAAUAACUUAAGAAAGUAAUUGUAAUACAAAUAUUGGAAACAU